rnacentral:rRNA from 1 species
GGGUUGUGAGGUUAAGCGACUAAGCGUACACGGUGGAUGCCCUGGCAGUCAGAGGCGAUGAAGGACGUGCUAAUCUGCGAUAAGCGUCGGUAAGGUGAUAUGAACCGUUAUAACCGGCGAUUUCCGAAUGGGGAAACCCAGUGUGAUUCGUCACACUAUCAUUAACUGAAUCCAUAGGUUAAUGAGGCGAACCGGGGGAACUGAAACAUCUAAGUACCCCGAGGAAAAGAAAUCAACCGAGAUUCCCCCAGUAGCGGCGAGCGAACGGGGAGCAGCCCAGAGCCUGAAUCAGUGUGUGUGUUAGUGGAAGCGUCUGGAAAGGCGCGCGAUACAGGGUGACAGCCCCGUACACAAAAAUGCACAUGCUGUGAGCUCGAUGAGUAGGGCGGGACACGUGGUAUCCUGUCUGAAUAUGGGGGGACCAUCCUCCAAGGCUAAAUACUCCUGACUGACCGAUAGUGAACCAGUACCGUGAGGGAAAGGCGAAAAGAACCCCGGCGAGGGGAGUGAAAAAGAACCUGAAACCGUGUACGUACAAGCAGUGGGAGCACAGAGCAAUCUGUGUGACUGCGUACCUUUUGUAUAAUGGGUCAGCGACUUAUAUUCUGUAGCAAGGUUAACCGAAUAGGGGAGCCGAAGGGAAACCGAGUCUUAACUGGGCGUUAAGUUGCAGGGUAUAGACCCGAAACCCGGUGAUCUAGCCAUGGGCAGGUUGAAGGUUGGGUAACACUAACUGGAGGACCGAACCGACUAAUGUUGAAAAAUUAGCGGAUGACUUGUGGCUGGGGGUGAAAGGCCAAUCAAACCGGGAGAUAGCUGGUUCUCCCCGAAAGCUAUUUAGGUAGCGCCUCGUGAAUUCAUCUCCGGGGGUAGAGCACUGUUUCGGCAAGGGGGUCAUCCCGACUUACCAACCCGAUGCAAACUGCGAAUACCGGAGAAUGUUAUCACGGGAGACACACGGCGGGUGCUAACGUCCGUCGUGAAGAGGGAAACAACCCAGACCGCCAGCUAAGGUCCCAAAGUCAUGGUUAAGUGGGAAACGAUGUGGGAAGGCCCAGACAGCCAGGAUGUUGGCUUAGAAGCAGCCAUCAUUUAAAGAAAGCGUAAUAGCUCACUGGUCGAGUCGGCCUGCGCGGAAGAUGUAACGGGGCUAAACCAUGCACCGAAGCUGCGGCAGCGACACUAUGUGUUGUUGGGUAGGGGAGCGUUCUGUAAGCCUGUGAAGGUGUACUGUGAGGUAUGCUGGAGGUAUCAGAAGUGCGAAUGCUGACAUAAGUAACGAUAAAGCGGGUGAAAAGCCCGCUCGCCGGAAGACCAAGGGUUCCUGUCCAACGUUAAUCGGGGCAGGGUGAGUCGACCCCUAAGGCGAGGCCGAAAGGCGUAGUCGAUGGGAAACAGGUUAAUAUUCCUGUACUUGGUGUUACUGCGAAGGGGGGACGGAGAAGGCUAUGUUGGCCGGGCGACGGUUGUCCCGGUUUAAGCGUGUAGGCUGGUUUUCCAGGCAAAUCCGGAAAAUCAAGGCUGAGGCGUGAUGACGAGGCACUACGGUGCUGAAGCAACAAAUGCCCUGCUUCCAGGAAAAGCCUCUAAGCAUCAGGUAACAUCAAAUCGUACCCCAAACCGACACAGGUGGUCAGGUAGAGAAUACCAAGGCGCUUGAGAGAACUCGGGUGAAGGAACUAGGCAAAAUGGUGCCGUAACUUCGGGAGAAGGCACGCUGAUAUGUAGGUGAAGUCCCUCGCGGAUGGAGCUGAAAUCAGUCGAAGAUACCAGCUGGCUGCAACUGUUUAUUAAAAACACAGCACUGUGCAAACACGAAAGUGGACGUAUACGGUGUGACGCCUGCCCGGUGCCGGAAGGUUAAUUGAUGGGGUUAGCGCAAGCGAAGCUCUUGAUCGAAGCCCCGGUAAACGGCGGCCGUAACUAUAACGGUCCUAAGGUAGCGAAAUUCCUUGUCGGGUAAGUUCCGACCUGCACGAAUGGCGUAAUGAUGGCCAGGCUGUCUCCACCCGAGACUCAGUGAAAUUGAACUCGCUGUGAAGAUGCAGUGUACCCGCGGCAAGACGGAAAGACCCCGUGAACCUUUACUAUAGCUUGACACUGAACAUUGAGCCUUGAUGUGUAGGAUAGGUGGGAGGCUUUGAAGUGUGGACGCCAGUCUGCAUGGAGCCGACCUUGAAAUACCACCCUUUAAUGUUUGAUGUUCUAACGUUGACCCGUAAUCCGGGUUGCGGACAGUGUCUGGUGGGUAGUUUGACUGGGGCGGUCUCCUCCUAAAGAGUAACGGAGGAGCACGAAGGUUGGCUAAUCCUGGUCGGACAUCAGGAGGUUAGUGCAAUGGCAUAAGCCAGCUUGACUGCGAGCGUGACGGCGCGAGCAGGUGCGAAAGCAGGUCAUAGUGAUCCGGUGGUUCUGAAUGGAAGGGCCAUCGCUCAACGGAUAAAAGGUACUCCGGGGAUAACAGGCUGAUACCGCCCAAGAGUUCAUAUCGACGGCGGUGUUUGGCACCUCGAUGUCGGCUCAUCACAUCCUGGGGCUGAAGUAGGUCCCAAGGGUAUGGCUGUUCGCCAUUUAAAGUGGUACGCGAGCUGGGUUUAGAACGUCGUGAGACAGUUCGGUCCCUAUCUGCCGUGGGCGCUGGAGAACUGAGGGGGGCUGCUCCUAGUACGAGAGGACCGGAGUGGACGCAUCACUGGUGUUCGGGUUGUCAUGCCAAUGGCACUGCCCGGUAGCUAAAUGCGGAAGAGAUAAGUGCUGAAAGCAUCUAAGCACGAAACUUGCCCCGAGAUGAGUUCUCCCUGACUCCUUGAGAGUCCUGAAGGAACGUUGAAGACGACGACGUUGAUAGGCCGGGUGUGUAAGCGCAGCGAUGCGUUGAGCUAACCGGUACUAAUGAACCGUGAGGCUUAACCUUACAACGCCGAAGGUGUUU